rnacentral:pre_miRNA from 1 species
GAUAUCAACUGAAAAAGUCAUCAACAACAAAGUUGAAUAACUCAUCAAGAUCUAAAACUUUUAUUUUGGUCAUUUCUUCAUACGACAAAGUGAUAGUAACAUUGUUCAUAAAAUUGACAUAUCUCUUAUCUGGUUUUAUAAACUAUAACACAUAUAUGUAAAAUUUGUGAAUAAUAUUACUAACAUUUCGUCGGAUGAAGAAAUAACAAAAGUAAAAGUUUUAGAUCUUGAUGAGUUAUUCAACUUUGUUGUUGAUGACUUUUUCAAUUGAAAUC